GCUGGCCAGGCCAAGGGGACACCAAGGAAGGAGCCGGGCUAGGGACAUCCUCGAAACAACCCUGCCCAAGAGGCCCACCUUCCAGGCAAGGGGACCUCCAAGAAUUGUCAGAGAAUAAAUUCCUGUUGAUGUAAGCCACCCAGCUUGUGGCACUUUGUUAUGACAGCCUGAGCAAACCAGCAUGAGGCCAACUUUUGGGCAUCCACCACGUUGCGGGGACCCGUGGCCAGACAGGCCAACAAGAGUCAGGUGGCACACCAAAGAGUGCAAAUUGAUUUUCGAGUCCAGCCGAGGGCCUUGCCUCAUCUGGGUGGGGCAAGGAAUGUCCACCUUUUUAUGGACUCAUUUGGAUCCCCUAAAAGACUGAUUAAACUGUAAUUCAUUAAUUUGUUUAAAGCAUCAAGAAAAAUAUCAAUGGCAAAACAUUUAAAGAUAUA